AACAUCGAUAUUUCGAACGCACAUUGCCGAGCUAGGAUUUUUUCCGGCUCGACGUCUGCC
rnacentral:rRNA from 1 species